rnacentral:ribozyme from 1 species
AAUGACACAUACACAGAUCGACAUUCAUCAGCACAGCAAGAGAGAGAGAAAGGAGGAGGAGAAGCAAGUCGUCAGCCUUUCAUCUCAGUUCUCUUUCUAUUUCCUUUUUCAUUCUAUUAUCGAAUCGUGUUACGGUACCUGUCACAAACAAAGAAGGAAGAGACAAAUACAUACAAAAUAAACGAAGAAGGAUCAAUCAAAUCAAAUUGCUU